rnacentral:lncRNA from 1 species
AUGAAAUACACAGUUGUUACAGGUGUUACAGGUAUUACAGGUGCGCAGCCUAGAAAUAAAUGCAUUAAAAAGAUCAAAGAUUCUAGAAAGAUUUAUAAGCAAGUAUUCAGAUCUCACCCAAAGGCGUCCCAAUGGGGGGGGGGGGGGGGGGGGAGGGAGAGAGGCUCAGCCUGUCGACUGAUCCCAGGAGUCAGGAGGAUGUUAGGGGAUGUUAGGGAAGAUACCAUCGUCAGGGGAGAUACCAUCCCGAGGACAUACAACAUCCUUAGGACCUCCUGACUCCUGGGAUCAGUCGACGGGCUGAGCCUCUCUUCCCCCCCCAUUGGGACGCCUUUGGGUGAGAUCUGAAUAUUUGCUUAUAAAUCUCUAUAGAGUCUUUGAUCCUUUUAACGUGUUUAUUUCUAGGCUGCGCACCUGUAACACCUGUAACACCUAUAACACCUGUAACACCUAUAACAUCUGUAACACUUAUAACAUCUAUAACAUUUGUAACAUCUAUAACAUCUGUAACACCCGUAACACCUACAACACCUAUAACACCUGUAACAUCUGUAACACCUAUAACACCUGUGUAUUUCAUGCAUACUAGCUUGCUUUUGCAGAUAGUCACUAUCACCGGCAAUCCAAAAGAACCUGAUUAUCUGUUGCUGUACUAAACCAUACUUGAUUGCAUUGUGAUAGCUCUCAUUAAUGCAACUAGGGUGAGGGUGGUUAUCCGUGAUAGUUCAGUGUUCUGAAUCUAACCAGACCCCCAGACGGUUAAUACAUUUUUGGUGAAUGUCUGAACGGACCCCCAGGUGGUUAAUACGUUUUUGGUGAAUGUCUGAGUGGACCCCCAGGCGGUUAUUACAUUUUUGGUGAAUGUCCGAACGGACCCCCAGACCGUUAAUGCGUUUUUGGUGAAUGUCUGACUGGACCCCCAGGCGGUUAAUGUGUUUUUGGUGAAUGUCCGACUGGUUCAGUACUCUGAAUCCAACCGGGCCCGUAACGGUUAAUCAGCUACACCCCUUUAAUGCGACACCUGGUAUCUUUAUCUAAGAAUUUCCAACCAGUGGCAACUCCAGUUUUUAUUUUGUGACUUCACUGUUAAUAAUUUUUAAAUUAGCUUAUGAAGAGAAUUGUGCGCUUCUAAUUAAAUGUCCCUUUAACAAAGAUGAACAAAUUUUAAUUAAUUUUCAAAAGAUAAACAGAUCUCCUUCCUUCCUUCCUUCCUUCCUUCCUUCCUUCCUUCCUUC